rnacentral:rRNA from 1 species
CUGGAGGAAGAGAAAGAAAAAUCGAUUUUCUUAGUAGCGGCGAGCGAAAGGGAAAGAGCCCAAACCGGAAACUUGUUUCCGGGGUUGUGGACAUAGCAUCAAAGUGGAGGCUAUUGUAACUGAAGAGAACUGGAAAGUUCCACCGUAGAAGGUAAUAGUCCUGUAAGUGAAACGAGAAGACCACGAGUUAUGAUCCAGAGUACCACGAGACACGUGAAACCUUGUGGGAAGCAGGGAGGACCACCUCCCAAGGCUAAAUACUACCUGA